rnacentral:lncRNA from 1 species
UUCUCUUGGAAAUCAUGACAGGGUUAUAGCCUCAUAAAAAUGGCUGCGUCUUUGACAUCUUAGGCUACAUGUCUCAGAAAAUGACUGUAUGUCUGCUAUUCAUAUAGGAACAAAUAAUUCAUGUCUUGGUCCUAUUUGUUUCCAAGCAAUUCUUCUAGGUAAGAAUCAUCCAUAUUUAUGUCUUAAUAAUCAUAUGAUAUCCCUUUUAUGCUAAGGUUAUGUGAAACAUUCUUGCCAGUCCCUGUCUGACCUAAACUUUGGUUUAAUUUUGACUUAGGUCGACUAAUGGAAAAUGAAACCAACACCAACACUGCAGAGAAGCAAACAAAAGAGAAGGCAUUUUAACUGGGGUCUUAGGAAUUACAAUUCCAGAGACACAAACCUAGGAAGCAGCUAAAUUGUGUUCCGUACAGGUGCAAUUAGGCAGGGGCUAAGGGUGUUCCAAGUUUA